CAGCAGCCGCGGUAAUACGGAGGGCGCGAGCGUUGUCCGGAAUUAUUGGUCGUAAAGCGCGCGCAGGCGGUCCCUUAAGUCUGAUGUGAAAGCCCACGGCUCAACCGUGGAGGGUCAUUGGAAACUGGGGGACUUGAGUGCAGAAGAGGAGAGCGGAAUUCCACGUGUAGCGGUGAAAUGCGUAGAGAUGUGGAGGAACACCAGUGGCGAAGGCGGCUCUCUGGUCUGUAACUGACGCUGAGGCGCGAAAGCGUGGGGAGCAAACAGGAUUAGAUACCCUGGUAGUCCACGCCGUAAACGAUGAGUGCUAAGUGUUAGAGGGGUUAAACCCUUUAGUGCUGUAGCUAACGCGUUAAGCACUCCGCCUGGGGAGUACGGCCGCAAGGCUGAAACUUAAAGGAAUUGGCGGG
rnacentral:rRNA from 1 species